CAAGCACAUCACUGCUCCACGCUCCUUUCAUUCCCCACGCACGAAACCCUAGCCCCUUUCGUUCCCCACGCACGCCGCCGGCCCAGAGAGGCGACCUCAUUCUUCCCUCCUAUGGCGCCACCGCUCCAACCCAUAGCCGGCUCCCACUCCCCCCCUCCCUCUCCACUCCUUCCCAUGGUGCCAGAUCUGAAGGGGUCAAGGUCAUUUCGCUCCCUGGUCCAGAGCGAGGUAGGCGGCCUCUGGUCCCUCUGCUUCCGGCGACAUGUGCCUCCAUCUCUGCCAACCAACCUUCGGUGACCAACAGGUAGCCAUCCAUGGCGGUAACAACAGCGGGCACUUGUGCACAAGGAUUCCUGCUUCCGGCUACUCACGAGCUUCCGGCAGGUGGCGCAGUGAUGUCCCGCCCUCUUUGCCACUGCCUCCCCACCAAUUGGCAGUGCUAGAGCCAAAGAGCAGCAUGGCAAGUCGAAGGUAUCUCAUACAUCUGAUAACUAGAGUCAUUUGACAACGUCUUCUCUCAGCAUGGCGAUGUUCUCGAAGUGGAAGCAAUAUGACAUCCCUUGCGAGGACAUCCAAAGGAUACAGUUUCGUCAAGUUCUCUUUCGAAAGAGAAGCAUCUCGGCAUUGGAGAAGAUGAGCGACUAGAUUCAGCUGCUUGAUGGAAAGAACAUACUGGUGCAUUAUGCAAACAGUGGAUGAUCUGCUGCUGCUAUAAAUGAGUAAGCAUUCUGAGUGUGGAAAACUGAAAACUAGAGAAACACCAGAUUGGUGAGCUGAUAUUCUAAAGGUAAAAUGGUGGGGUCAUGGAGGAACAACUAAAAGUAGUAAAAAGGUAUGUAGUGGGCAAUUCUUUAUAUACAUAAUGAAUUGUAUAAACACAAAUAGUGCUUCAAACGCUUCUGCUGACCUUAAGAUCACACACACUAGUUGUUUUUGCCUAUGCCAAUAGAGUAAUCUGUCUUAUUUAUUUUUAAAGAGAAGAAACAAACACUUCUGCUGACCCAUCAGCUCGUUCUGGAAAUGGUGGGCGGGUUGGGGUUAUUCCAGUUGAGGAUCAACGUGUUAACACAUGGUUAUUGACUUCUCUGUAUUUAUUACUAUUUGUGUUGUUGAGAAUGAGAUGCUCCUCUGUGUUGGCAUUUCAAUACUAUAGUCCAAUUGCGCGCAACAGCAACGUCUAACCGUGUUCUUUCCACAAAGCAAAGAAAAUGCAGUUUCUGAUAGUGUAUUAUAAUCGAGACUUGUUUAAUCACUACACUACACACCAGAUUUCCCUACCAACGACUUAUUAUAAUCGAGACAUUAUAAUCGACAUCGGCAAGAUCUCACUCUCUCACUUGGCCUCUCCCUCCUCUCCCCCCUCUCUCUAUGUGCUGUAGUGUGCAGAUUUGAACUAGUCCGUAAGUUUAAUAAUAUCUUUAAAAGAAAUCUAUGAUGCUUUGAUUCAUGGAAAUAGAGAAACCCUUGAAGCAGUAAAGUUCUUUAUGUGCAGCAGUUAAUUAAGCUUCAUUACUGUUUUGUAGUUUUCUAAAAGGUACUUUCAUGAACUGGUUACACAUGUUUUUUCUUUUGAUAGCAGGCUUGACAUAAAGUUUUGUUUUCUGUUGUUUUUCAGUGAAUGAUUUGGAAAACUGUAGUAGCAUGGUGGACAAAGGUCACAAACAGAUCUUGGCUUCAAAGUUACAUUCAAAUAUGUCACUUCCUUUGCAUUCGAGAGAGUAUUUUUCACAUUACUAGUCAUACCAUGACUUUUACCAGGAUUUGGAGCCUUGGUUUGUUGGUGAAGUAACGAUAGAAGGAGAUAUUAAAUUGUUGUUUGUGAUAGCAAGUGGCUUGCCUACAACAGAGGACUUUGAGCAUGUCACUUAUUUGGAAAUAUUGAAGGCUCCACCUAUCCCCAUAGGAAUUGUCUCAAGAGCGUUACCCCCCAUGUCCUGAAGAGAAUUAUCCUAUCAUUUAGCAAAUGCUUUCGCUUCUAGAUUUCUUACUCCUUUCGUGUAUCUCAGGAUAUAGCAAAAGAAGUUGCAGGAAACACAAAAGAGGGGAGCGAAAGAUUUUCAAAUUGGAGGAUGUUCUCCAAUAAGAUGUAGAAGGAAGGCUUUGUUGUCAAGUACUAGAACGACACAAGGAUCUUGGUGGAAUGCUGAGAGGAUGUGUAUGUAGUUGCCCACUAUAAGGAGCCAAGGCAGAUGAUGUGCCUCUUAAAACAAAUUCUAGAAAAUAAAGCAUGGUAUUUUUGCUAUUAGGCAAUAAACCAUAAUGUUUCCUCUACUUAAUUAGUUCCACUAGUUUUAUAGGAAAGUUGGAUGGUCAUUAGUUCAUAACAGAUGAUGUAUUUAUACGUGAAAAUUAUUGAAAUGUAUGUUAUUGUUUGCAUC